UCGGAGGCGCGCGCCGUCGAAGCGGGGCGGCGAAGUGAGGUAGGGGGAUCGGGUGCGGUGCGGUGCGGUGGGGAAGAGAGGAGAGAGAGAAGUAGAGAAGGAAGGUGGUGGGGACGGGACGGGUGGAAGUGGUCCACCGUGGUCCUCGAUGCCGUCGUCCUCGCCCACACCAUCGUCCUCGAUCCACCCCGAUCUGCCAUCGUCCUCACCGGCCGAUCCCCUUCUCCCUCGGCGCUGCCUUUCCUACACAGCAUGGCUUGCGGUGGCUUCAUAGCCCAACGAAGCCAGAGCCUGGCCCCCCUUGUGGGUUUGCUUUUGGCCUGUGCAUGGCCAGUGCGGUGGUCAGCUGGGCCAGGCAGCUCGCAGUGGAUGCGGCGGUGUGGACCUCCAGGGUGUGCCCCCUCCCUUGUGAAGCCGACAGGUAUGCCCACCCCUUACCUAGCGAUGGUUGUCAACAUGGGGCUUCUAGCAGGCACCAAGAUGAAGGGGACAACAGCCAUGGCAUCUCGGACAUCUACACCAACGUUCACAGUCCUGGUACCACCUCACCACCUCCACUCCAUAUGCAACAUCAGAACUCGCAUAGGAGGUGUUUGAGGGAAUUCCCAUGAGCCUUUCGGAAUCAAAGUUGGAUAUGUAGUCCCAGCCAAGCUAGAGGUGCUGGUAGUUCAUCUCCUCAAGGUGGUGGCUGCUACAACUAAUCUACUAACCUGGUUAUGUACAAAGGAAUAUAUGUUGUGUGUCACAUAUGCACGGACAGGGUGUGGAGGUGGCACUACAUUGGUAGAUGGGCAGGGUUGGGCACUCUUUCCCACCGCACAUGAGCCAAUGUGGGAGAUUCAUCGCAACAGGAUCUACCAGUCAAGGUGAUAGAGGUUGACAGCCAUCGCUAUAGUGAGUUUGAGCUUACCCUGUCAGUUGGUGACAUUGUAAUUGUCUAAAAGAGUUGGAUACAUGGAUGAAAUGAAGGAAGGUUUUAGGAGAAGAGCUUCACCGCUCAAGAUUCUGGACAGAUUUGGCCAAGAAACUAUUUGCUCCAUGAAUUCUUGCUUGCUUUGUGCUUUAGAUGGAAUUAAUUCACAACUGAUUUUCAGUUUUGUAAGCGCUUGCUGUGGAUAUGUGCUGCCUAGAUGCCAGGACAGAAUCCUGUUUAUGACAGGGUAGGUCACUCAAGCAACAUUUUCACAGUGAACUUGUGCUUAUGCUGAAUUGUAGGUACCUUUGUUGGCAUGGAAUCUUUUAUAAAUUCAUUUCCGCCUACAAUUGGAUUAUGUGCAUAUAUACAACCUUGCAGGAUGAAUUUAUUAGCCUAGCUCCAAGAAACAUACAGUACAGGUAACAACAAAUAUGCCUGGUCUUUUGUCUCCAUCGAUGGAAUCGACAGAAGACAUUUGAGCUAGGUGGGAGACUAUGUUGAAGGUUGAAGUAGUCGCUGGAAACUCUCAAAAGUCAUCAAAUACUCAGUGUAAUUUUGACGUGUUCUUGAGACGUGCAUUUGUAAUGUCUGUGAUGUGUUUUCCUGUUACUAUACUCUAAAAUCAUCCAUCAUGCCACAAGAACGGAUGGUUCAUGAUGUGUCCUAAUUGUUGAAUUGCAACCUCGUAACUGUGUUCUUUUACAUGAGAACAAAUGGUGUUGCACUCAGCUUCCUAUUAA